rnacentral:rRNA from 1 species
AGAGUUUGAUCCUGGCUCAGGAUGAACGCUGGCGGCGUGCUCAACACAUGCAAGUCGAGCGAUGAAGUUUCCUUCGGGAAACGGAUUAGCGGCGGACGGGUGAGUAACACGUGGGUAACCUGCCUCAUAGAGUGGAAUAGCCUUCCGAAAGGAAGAUUAAUACCGCAUAACGUUGAAAGAUGGCAUCAUCAUUCAACCAAAGGAGCAAUCCGCUAUGAGAUGGACCCGCGGCGCAUUAGCUAGUUGGUGGGGUAACGGCCUACCAAGGCGACGAUCAGUAGCCGGACUGAGAGGUUGAACGGCCACAUUGGGACUGAGAUACGGCCCAGACUCCUACGGGAGGCAGCAGUGGGGAAUAUUGGGCAAUGGGGGAAACCCUGACCCAGCAACGCCGCGUGAAGGAAGAAGGCCUUCGGGUUGUAAACUUCUUUUAGUAGGGACGAAGAACGUGACGGUACCUACAGAAAAAGCAACGGCUAACUACGUGCCAGCAGCCGCGGUAAUACGUAGGUUGCAAGCGUUGUCCGGAAUUACUGGGUGUAAAGGGCGUGUAGGCGGAGCAGCAAGUCAGAUGUGAAAUCCCGGGGCUCAACCCCGGAACUGCAUUUGAAACUGUAGCCCUUGAGUAUCGGAGAGGCAAGCGGAAUUCCUAGUGUAGCGGUGAAAUGCGUAGAUAUUAGGAGGAACACCAGUGGCGAGGGCGGCUUGCUGGACGACAACUGACGCUGAGGCGCGAAAGCGUGGGGAGCAAACAGGAUUAGAUACCCUGGUAGUCCACGCUGUAAACGAUGAAUACUAGGGGUGGGGAGGACUGACCCCCUUCCGGCCCCGGUUAAAACAAUAAUUAUUCCCCUGGGGGAGUCACAACCCAUGGUUGAAACUCAAAGGAAUUGACGGGGGCCCGCACAAGCAGUGGAUUAUGUGGAUUAAUUCGACGCAACGCGAAGAACCUUACCAGGACUUGACAUCCUACUAACGAAGCAGAGAUGCAUUAGGUGCCCUUCGGGGAAAGUAGAGACAGGUGGUGCAUGGUUGUCGUCAGCUCGUGUCGUGAGAUGUUGGGUUAAGUCCCGCAACGAGCGCAACCCCUAUUGUUAGUUGCUACGAAAGAGCACUCUAGCGAGACUGCCGUUGACAAAACGGAGGAAGGCGGGGACGACGUCAAAUCAUCAUGCCCCUUAUGUCCUGGGCUACACACGUAAUACAAUGGCACGUAACAAAGGGAAGCGAGCCUGCGAGGGGGAGCAAAUCUCAAAAAUAACGUCCCAGUUCGGAUUGUAGUCUGCAACUCGACUGCAUGAAGCUGGAAUCGCUAGUAAUCGCGAAUCAGCAUGUCGCGGUGAAUAC